rnacentral:rRNA from 1 species
UACGUAGGUGACAAGCGUUGUCCGGAUUUACUGGGCGUAAAGAGCGCGCAGGCGGUCGUUCAAGUCGAGUGUGAAAGCCCCCGGCUCAACUGGGGAGGGUCACUCGAUACUGAUCGACUUGAAGGCAGGAGAGGGAAGCGGAAUUCCCGGUGUAGUGGUGAAAUGCGUAGAUAUUCGGAAGAACACCAGUGGCGAAGGCGGCUCACUGGACUGGUAUUGACGCUGAGGUGCGAAAGCGUGGGGAGCAAACAGG